rnacentral:rRNA from 1 species
CAGUCGCCGCGGUAAUACGGAGGGUGCAAGCGUUAAUCGGAAUUACUGUGCGUAAAGCGCACGCAGGCGGUCUGACAAGUCAGAUGUGAAAUCCCCGGGCUUAACCUGGGAACUGCAUUUGAAACUGUCAGGCUGGAGUCUUGUAGAGGGGGGUGGAAUUCCAGGUGUAGCGGUGAAAUGCGUAGAGAUCUGGAGGAAUACCGGUGGCGAAGGCGGCCCCCUGGACAAAGACUGACGCUCAGGUGCGAAAGCGUGGGGAGCAAACAGGAUUAGAUACCCCGGUAGUCCCUGUCUCUUAUAA